UACAGAGGGUGCGAGCGUUAAUCGGAAUUACUGGGCGUAAAGUGCGCGCAGGUGGCCUCGCAUGUCGAGUGUGAAAUCCCCGGGCUUAACUUGGGAAUUGCGCUCGAAACUACGUGGCUCGAGUGUGGCAGAGGAAGGUGGAAUUCCACGUGUAGCGGUGAAAUGCGUAGAGAUGUGGAGGAACACCGAUGGCGAAGGCAGCCUUCUGGGCCAACACUGACGCUCAUGCACGAAAGCGUGGGGAGCAAACGGG
rnacentral:rRNA from 1 species